CAUUAUUCUUUACCACAUAUUAUGUAGCACACUCUGUAUAUCUAAAUAAUGGUAUGUUACAAGCUGUACUUAUAUUAUAUAUUUAUAUUUCUGCAAACAUAUCCUUCACUCAGUGCUCACCAUGCUGACUGACAUGUUUUUACUCUUUACUUUGCGUUUAAAGAUGAAAAGUUAGCCAGAAUUGAUCUUGUGCUUAUUUUGUUAUCCACAUAUCUGUAACUGGGCAUUUCUCUUUAAUACAGUAACACAGUUUUCUUAUUAACAUAAUCUGUCAGAUUCAAAACUUCUUUCAAAAUGAAUGAAGCUUGUUUCGCUCUCGUACUCUCAGUCCCUCAUGACAUAAUUCUGUUUUCUUUAAGCUAAAAAGCGGAAGAAGAACUUGUCACUUCCUUUUAUCCUCUCAGCAGAUGAAAGAAUAAAGAAAACUUCAAUAAGUCUUGAAACCAGCCUUUUUUUAAAAAUUUAUUUAUUUAUUUAAAACCCCUCUCAUUCGAGGCUUAUCACUGACACUUUGCUUCAGUUCAGAGCCGCUUACACGUUAUUCUGAAAGCUGCUGAGUGGAUCAACAGUGAGCAGACAUGGGAGCUGUAGUUGGAUUGUUUUUGAUGAUGUUUGGAGUCGUUCAUGGUGUGGAAAGUUACUGUGACGGCAGACCAGAUGGAGCUCAUUGUUAUGGAACUUUGGGAGGAACUUUGGACAUCAAACUGAUGGACAGCACCUCAGAGUUAGGCAGAUUCCAACUGUUAAAGAAUACAUCACUAAUACGAUAUUCGAGAAACAACAGUUCUAAACAUAAUACAACAGAUGAAAGAUUUCUCUUUUAUCUCAGUAAUGGAACGCUUAGGAUACAUAACCUGAGCAGUACAGACAGCGGUAAAUAUAACUUUUCGACCUUUAAGUUUGAUGGACAACAAUCAGCUGAGCGGACUUUCCAGAUUUUUAUUCAAGGUACUUCCUGGUUCAUACAUGGUUUGAAAGCAGUGGUGGUAAUUAUAUCAUUAAGUGGGAUUUGGAUCUAUUUCACUUGGAAGAAAAAAGCAAUAUUGGAAGGCUCUGCUGUCCCACAAAGGAUGGAAUCUCCAGAUAACUCUGUUUUAAUGACUGAAAUGAGUCCUUACUCCAACACUUAGUGUCACCUUUCACCUGCUGUAAAUUCACUGUGUGUCCUUACAGGUGUGCAGAUGAGGACUAGGGUGAUUUUUCUUCUUUUUCUUCCUUCUUUUGUCAUAUGUAGUGCACAAGGACACAUUUGUUUUCACCUUUUGGUGUGUUUGUGUUAGUUCACAAUGUGAUUUCAGUGUGUGAAUAAAGAGGUAACAAAAAUGUUUAUUUCUGGUUCUUAAAAGCAGGAACAGUCAAAGAAAAAAAAAAGACCAUGGAAAAGAGGAGAGCAAAAACUUUAGAGGAAAG
ensembl:lncRNA